rnacentral:rRNA from 1 species
UACGUAGGGGGCAAGGCGUUGUCCGGAAUUAUUGGGCGUAAAGAGCGUGUAGGCGGCCAGAUAAGUCCGCUGUGAAAUCUCGAGGCUCAACUUCGAGCUGUCGGUGGAAACUAUCUGGCUAGAGUCCGGAAGAGGAGAAUGGAAUUCCUGGUGUAGCGGUGAAAUGCGCAGAUAUCAGGAAGAACACCCGUGGCGAAGGCGGUUCUCUGGGACGGUACUGACGCUGAGACGCGAAAGCGUGGGGGAGCGAACAGG